rnacentral:tRNA from 1 species
GCUGUGGGUCAAUGGUGGAGCAUCUGCUUAGCAUGUAGAAGAUUCCAGGUUCAAACCCUGACAUCUCCA